AUAAAAUGUAUCUUUGCCAUCGCCCAAAUUACUCAGAACGUCAGGCUGGUCAGGCGAAGACAACUUGCAACCGAAAGAUAAGCUCAAUCACAUUAAUAGCCAUCAUCGCCAUCGCGAUUAAAUCAUUGUAGUAAUCUUGUGGUUGUCCGUGUGUUCUCUACAGCAUAGAGUGCUGUACAGUAAACUAUGACAGUAAAUAUGUGUUCGCUGUGCGCGAUUGACAGCAGCAUGGAGAAAAGAAAUAAACUCCCUGGACAGCAGAAUGUCGAGCGUGCGCCCGUGCGUGGCCGUCCGACUUUGCGUUUACGACUCUGCUUGCGUGAAAGUGAAACUGUUCGCGCGAGCGGCUGUGUGAUAACGAUUGUUCUUGGUCACAUCACUGAUGAUUAUCGUUUGUCUCGUGUCCUUGUCGCAAAGAGUUGUGCUUUAUAUUUUUCCAUCGAUCACGCUUGUUCUGCGUGCUCUGGCAGACCACGUGUGGUGGAAACAGUUCAGUUUCCUCGAUGACCGUUUUUGAACUUGCCUUAUGCCCGCGGUUGUGAAGCUUUAUUUGUUCACAUUCCCGAUUUGGGGGCAGACACACUGUUAAAGGAAAGUGGCUAAUGUGAGAAUGGCAAAAAUGUUUGGUUACUACUAACGUUGUGUUUCGUUUUCUUCUAUGCGAUUGUUUUUAGGCGUUGUCACUCGAAGAACUUGGAUUGAUUAAAAUAAUUGCCAUUCAGGCUAAAGAAGAGCCCAAAACAACGCCACAUAAAUAUGUUCAUGUUCCAUCAUUUCUUUGUGUGCCGUUUCCUUGCACUAUUCAUGAAAACGAACGCAUAUGCUGCAGCUGUAUGCCUGUACGGAGCUACAUCACUAUUAAAGUAAAUGUGCACGUCUGCGUGUAACUUGACCUCAAAGGCAUAUAUCGAGCAAUUUAAAGUUAUGUAUACUGACACCGUAAUUUCUGUCGGCAUUGAUUUGUAAUAAAUGUGAUCUGUGCAAAGCAUUCUACCUAACAGAACAAGUACGCAACAGUAGGGUAAACAUUAUAACCUUUCUGAAGAUGUACCUGUGGCUUAGAGGUCCGAUUACAGAAACGUAAUUCACAUAAGCCAAAAUAAGGCUCUAUUAUGAAAGUUAAUUGUUAGGUGAGUUGAUGCAAGGAUGUGAGAAUGAAAGUAACAACUACUUAAUGCCUUUCAAAAUGGGUAUCAACCUUUCAGGUGACAGCUUAUAAGAUGUUGAAAUGUAAUUGUAUGUUUACUUCUACUAGAGUGCUUUGUUUUCUCUAUAUGCAUAGUUUUAUCAGUCUACUGGGACCAUGGAGUAUGUGAAUCUUAUCCUUGGUGAAGAUAUCACUAGUGGGUGCAGGCUUAAUCAUGGUACUUUCACCUAGAGAGGGAAUAAUGGGAAGUACAUGCAUGCAUUGGCUCAUUUCAGCUGAUGGCUUAACAUGUAAUAUGACUAUGGCUCAGUAAAUUACCUUUUGGCAACAACAAAACUGCUAUGAUACAUUAUUAAAACACUGUAUUAUACUUUGCAUGCAAAGUAUUUUACACCUGGUAGAUUGUUGGAAGGUUGCAAGCUUUUUCUCAGCAAAUGAAAGAGCACAAAAAAUUGCAACACAUGUAGUUUCAUGCACUGCAUGGCAAUUGUGAGCUGACAAAAGGCGCUCAGAGCGUAGGGAUUGAAUUCGUAGCAUAGCACGUGAAUCAACAAUCGUCAAUCUGAAGUGUGUGCUUCCUCUGAGUCACUGCAGUGCCAGUUAAUAAGUUUUUAUAAACUCGUAUUACUGGGACAUUGGCACACUCUAGACUAUCUGACACCUGGAAUGAAGAACCACAUAUAAACAGUGCUUGUGUGUAUAUAUAUAUAUAUAUAUUUUUGUUCAUUUUCUCUAUCUUCAUUGAGCACUUGUACUUAUGUGUGAAAUAAUAGGAGCUUUUAUGAAACUUUGCAAAUACAACACAUGGAAGUGAUAUCUUUUUUUCUGCUGCUUUCUGCAGGAGGCCCACCACUCCCUCUUGUUCGCAGUGGUCACCACAUGGGUGGGAAAAGCCAGCAUACUUUUGCCUGUAAUUUUUGCGAGUACCGUACGCCAAAGUGGGCUGUCAUGCUGAACCAUCGGCGCACACACACAGGGGAGCGACCGUUUACCUGCCACCUAUGCCCCGGACGGUUUACUCAGAAGGCCUGCCUGAUGCGCCAUGUGCGCACACAUACAGGAGAGAAGCCUUACAAGUGCCGUAUCUGUGGUCUUGCCUUCUUCAGAGGCUACACACGAGACAGACAUGAGUACAGCCAUCUAAGUGCAUGAUUUGAUGAGUACUUGUGGAUGACGCAAUGCCAAGAAAAAGUGUAAAAAAGGCAAGUCAGUGGCAUUUAAAUCUUAAAGAUGCAUUGCAUGAAGAAGAAGAAUGCAUUUUCAGUCUUUGUGAAUGCAGCUGCAUAAACUCAAAAGGGUGGGGUGGGGAUAGGUAGGGGGAAGGGGGAAUAGUUUACAGACAACACAACACCAAGUAGGAGAGCAGCAUACGAAUUACAAGUGAUUCCAAAGAUGCACCUUUUUGAUACUUGAACUGUAUUUACUGUGUUCAUGGGUGUCGCCUUUAGAUUCUUAAAAGAUUAUUCACUGUGACAGCACUGUAUAAUUUGGCAUGUGUUUAUGGCUGGUAGAAAACCAGAGUGCAGAAGCUAAAUAAAGAUAGUGUUUUUUGGAAAUCGAUUGUAUUUACUGUGCCGUUUUAUAAACAGCCUUAAUAAACUUGGAAAGAAGUGAUUAAGCUUUCUUCUAAAAAAGAGAAGAGCAUGGAGAAGGUGAUGAAGGUACUUGUGAUUUUCCUUUUGCAAAGCUGCGGCUGUAAAUUGAGAGUAGCAUUGCAUAGUUAUUGAAGUGGAAAAAUGUUUUAGGUUUCGACAGAAUUAUGUGAUAAAAAGUUCAUCAAAAUGGUGCUACAACCUGUGCCCCGCUGCUCAUGCCUACCUUUCAUUGUAGCGUUUAAAAAAAGGUACCAGUAAUAAAAGGAAAAACCUGGCAUUUGCAUUGGGCUAAUUAUUUUAUUGUAUAUAUUUUAUUUGGGCAGAACAUUACAAGGUUUGCCCGCACCUUUAAUCAGAACUAUUUAGGCAGGGUAACCAUGGACUUCUGCGCAUUGCACUGUUCCAGCCAUACUGUAUGUAGGUGACGUCGUAUGUCUGUGGUCACCACAGGAAAUUGGGCUUGUCUUCCAGAGAUGAGGGUGUGGAGAGUCAACCUCGCUGCAUAUGAGUGGAGGGCCUAAGCGACACUGUUUGCAAGUCACCUACAACCUACUAAGCCAUUAUAUGCCAUUCACAUGGCCUUUCUCAGCAUUGAAUUGAGUUGAGCUUUAUUUUCAGCAGGUUGCCGGAGUGCAUACGCAUGGAGAUAUAAUGGAGGUGAAUGGACAAAAAUAAAGUUCUAAUUUAUUACACUGUAGUACAGUGCAACUUUAUACAUAUGCAUACAUGCACCCAGCAAUUGUUAAAACACUGUGAGCAAAUCAAAACAGACUGAAAUGUAUCGACAUAUUGAGACAUACUGACAUUGGCUACAUGAAUACAUGGUGUAGUCCUUUCUUUCAUUAUAUCUUUGCAAUGUCAGAUUAUUGUUUCACAAGAAUUGUAUUCAGUGUUGAGGGAUUUUGUUUUUCUUAAUGAGGGGAGCACUUGAUUACAUUCAAUUGUUUUGGUUUAUGUAUAUUUGUACUGUUAUUUUCUUAUUCAGCCACUUCGUCCAGCCUAUGUUUUGCCUAGACAUUUAUUAAAUAGCACCACAGUAUGGCCCACAUGAGGAUGUGUAUGGUUAUGCAGCCCAGUGCUCGAUGGGUUUUGAGGUUCCUCGUCUAAACCUUCUGAGUACUAUCAGGAUUGCUACAACUACAUGGUUCUGUUAGGAGAACCACAGUAUUCUCAGGAUCAGGACCAACCUUGCACCCUGAGCUUUGCCUGUACCUUCUGUGGGUACCGCUCAAGCAUAUUGGACCAGGUAGUUGAGCACCAACAGAUGCACACAGAUGAGCGGCCAUUCGCCUGCCACCUUUGUCCGGCAAAGUUCACUGAGAAGAAGAACCUGACACGCCACUUACGCUCGCAUACGGGUGAAAAGCCAUACAAGUGUAGCAUCUGCAACAUGGCUUUUUCCAGGUCCUGCAGCCGGCAAAAACACGAGCGCAGUCACGUCAAAGGGCGAUCCAAAAGAUGCUACAAGAGCGAAUAUCGAGAAGACAGCAACGAAGUGGAGCACGAAUAUUGCUGAAAAAGCACUCCCUGAAGAAGUGGCUCGUAUUUUCUGUGCCUAUGAAUGCAAACAGUUGCACCGAAUGCCCUUUCCAAUUUCUUGUAAAUACUCAAAGCUUAAACUUUCCGUAUUACAUAAAUAAUGAUCAGGUGUCUUGUGGAUCAUUAUACAAGUACCUAGGUGUUAACUUCACACCAAACAUUUCCUAGGCUUCGCAUCUAACCAACAUCUGUGCUAAUACUUUCAAAUAAUUGGGAUAUCUUCGUCACAAUUUUCGUAACUUGCUAUCUAAUAUCUGCAGAAUGGUGUUACUGUCAUUUGUUCACCCUCAACUUGUGUUUGCAUCCUCAAUCUAGUCCCCUCAUCAUAACUAAUUAAUCAACACAGUAGAAGCCAUUCAGAAUGGAGCCAAUAAAUUAAUCUCCUGCAGUUACAAUUAAAAAUCAAGCAUAAACCUAAUAUCAAACUUAAUAUUUCGCUUUGUAGAUUACACAUUUACCAUGACCUUGCACUUUUUUCGUUGCUUCGUAAAUAUAUUUGCCAUAUCAAACCCCACCUCUUACCACCUGCACCUUUACCUUCAUUUUCACUGCAGCUUAACACUUACCUCGGCUUUACCCAUCUUUUUGGUGACUUGGAGGCCUUAAUUACACAGCAAUUGCACAUGCUAAUUUCCUUGCAGAAGGUCCUUUUCAGUAGCACUGUCGAACACUAAAACAAAGAAAAAUUCCACAAGCUCACAAACAUGCAUUGUUUAUCUUAACCCCUCCCUCACCGUGUGAUUUUACUCUGUGUGACUUGCCUGUAGAAUCUUAAAGCGUUUUACAAGUGCUUAAAAUUGUUCCUUGCAUUAGGAUAUGAGACUUAGCUUUCAAGGUUCUGCCUAAACAUCUUUUUUUUUGGUGGGGGGGGGGGGGGUCAUUUAGUUUGUAUACCUUUUUGGAUGUUGCGUCUUUGCUGCCUUGUUUGCUAACUGCAACAGGAAUAAUUAAAUGUCCCUUACAUUUCACCUUCCUAAUAAGUUUCUCAGUCAUUAAUUUUUCUUUCCGUGAUGCCUCCCUUGCUAAUUACCCCGACACCUGCCUAUGAAUCAUUUUCAAAGGAAUGAAUAAAUAAAAAUAUCCUAUGCCACACUGGUGAAAAAGUGCACAACUAAUGUUCCCAAAGAAGCGACUUUUAGGGAGUUCAUUGCAUUUGCAUGCACUGCGCUCUUUGAAUAUGCAACCCAUUCGAUUGCUGAACUUAGAAACGAGUGUCCAGUAGGUAGAUGUAUAGCACUUAAAUACACAUAAUGUUCUGUUGAAGCUGCGUGAGCGGGCACUCGAAUUCAGUGCAGUUGGCACACUGCAUUGGACAACCACUUAAAUAUGAGACGUAACAAAGGAAACAGAGCUAGGCAGAAACAUGAAAGAGUGGAUUUCCUGGCAUCUCGGCAUGCUACUUCAGAUGAAAAUGAUGAUUAGCGUGUUUCUGUGGGUUCCUUUCUGCUGGCUGUCAUGGCCGUAUUUUGACAGAAGCUGAGGGAAACAAUCUAUACGUACCACAUUUUGAAUGCAUGUUAAAGAACACUCCUCAUUAUAGCACCUCUCAUCGCCCCAUCAAUUAGUCAUUUAAGACGAUUGCAAAUGAGAGUUUGAAAAACAAAAUAGGUAAUAAGCUGUACGUAGUUUUUUUUUUCCCCAAGUACCCUAAAGACCUAUACAGGCAUUACAUAGGGGUGUUACAAUAAAUCAGUGAUAGUUAGAGUACACACAUUUAAACAGAUAAUGCAUGUUAAAAUAAAAAGAACACAAGCAAAAAAAAGUUGUAAACGCAGUACAAUGACACAUCCUAAACUAAACCUUGAAGACUUAUAUGGCCAUUAACAUGGGUGUGACAAAAAAUCAAGGUUGCUUAGGGCAGAUAAUUCAAAUGGAAAUGGUUGAUAAAAUAGGCACACAAUUUAGCAGAUAUCGCAUGUUGCAUUAAAAGAACACAACCAGAAAAAAAAUUUCAUGCAGUACAAGGAACUCGGUGUUAACCUAAAACAAAGCCAUGCGCACAAGAAACAUCUAAAUAUGGUGUAAAGAAGUAAAGCAAGAAAAGGAGCACAAGAACACACUGAUGUCUUGAACAAAUGAGCAGGAAAGUCCUACGUGUGUACAUUAAAAUGGUGUUUUAGUUUCGCUAGGAAUUCAUCAUGACUUCAAGUUGAUAUGAUUUCAUUUGGUAACAUAUUACAGUGAUAUAUCACGAGAAAGAGGGGGGAGUGACUCAAGAGGUUAGUGUGUGCAAGAAUGGACUGCACUUAAAAGGGAUGAUCAAGGCACGUGACAAUAUGAUGUGUGGGCCUGAUGUGGCGUGCGCUGAAAGAUGACCUGCAGUGCUAAAGCUUGUGAAAAUGUGAAAGAAGUUCUAGCAGUCUUUUACUUUCAAGUAAGGGCAGAUUUAGAGAUAGUUUAAUGUUAGUGAUGCAAGACGUUGGAGAGCAAUUUUUCGUAAUGAAGCGGGCUGCUUCCUUCUGGACUGACUCGAGCUUGUUGAUGAGGUACGACUGAUGCAGAUUCCAAAUAAAUGUUCAUAACAGUUAUAGCGGUUGUGAUUUGAAGGUGACAUGAAAUGGUUGGAAUGAACUUGUGCAUAGGUUCAACACUGCAUGUGAGUGUGACUUCGAACUCCCAUCAAAAUUGGUGAUGCCUUCUGCAGGAGGACCAUUCCAUUUUCUUCACCAAGAUCGCCUUAACAGCUGGAAUAACUAUAAUUAUGCUUGUGCAUUCUGUUGUAUUGGUCAUGCAAGUGGGUGCACCUGCUAUAAUGCCAGCAGCGGCAUAGGAGGAGCAAUCGUAUCCUCACUGCCACAGUUUUGUGCGGUUUGCACAGAAGUGUAAGCUGACUUGCACACCGUGUGCACCCACACAUAGGCGAAGAGUUGUUCAAGCAUUGUGUCUGUGGCAUUUACUUUUGGCCUGUGCCUGAGACAGUUGCAAUGUGGGCCAUAAGAGCAGACGAUUCCAUGUUUAUUUGUGUUCAAGGGGCAAUCAAAAAGAAGAAAUAAAGGAGAAGUAUACUUUCUAA